AACGAACGCUGGCGGCAGGCUUAACACAUGCAAGUCGAACGCGUGUAGCAAUACACGAGUGGCGCACGGGUGAGUAACACGUGGAUAUCUGCCUUUUGGUUCGGAAUAACCCUGGGAAACUAGGGCUAAUACCGAAUGGUUCCUACGGGAUAAAGAUUUAUCGCCAAAAGAUGAGUCCGCGUCCGAUUAGCUAGUUGGUGAGGUAACGGCUCACCAAGGCGACGAUCGGUAGCUGGCUGAGAGGACGAUCAGCCACACUGGGACUGAGACACGGCCCAGACUCCUACGGGAGGCAGCAGUGGGGAUAUUGGACAAUGGGGGCGAACCCUCGAUCCAGCCACUGCCGCGUGAGUGAUGAAGGCC
rnacentral:rRNA from 1 species